CCUACGGGAGGCAGCAGUGAGGAAUAUUGGUCAAUGGCCGGAAGGCUGCACCAGCCAAGCCGCGUGAAGGACGAAGGUGCCAAGCAUUGUAAACUUCUUUUGUCAAGGGACAAAAUCAGGCUCGAGAGUCUGACCGAGGGUACUUGAAGAAAAAGCAUCGGCUAACUCCGUGCCAGCAGCCGCGGUACUACGGGGGAUGAGAGCCUUAUCCGGUUUUAUUGGGUUUAAAGGGUGCGUAGGCGGACUGUUAAUUCAGCGGUAAAAGCCCGGGGCUCAACCCCGGCGAGCCGUUGACACUGGCUGUAUUGAGAUGUCGAGAGGUAUGCGGAAUGCGCAGUGUAGCGGUGAAAUGCUUAGAUAUUGCGCAGAACUCCGAUUGCGAAGGCAGCAUACCGGCGGCGAUCUGACGCUGAGGCACGAAAGCGUGGGUAUCGAACAGGAGUAGAUACCCUUGUAGUC
rnacentral:rRNA from 1 species